UACGUAGGGUGCGAGCGUUAAUCGGAAUUACUGGGCGUAAAGCGUGCGUAGGCGGUCCGCUGUGUCCCGUGUGAAAGCCCCGGGCUCAACCUGGGAAUUGCAUGGGAAACUGGCGGGCUUGAGUGCGGCAGAGGGGGGUGGAAUUCCGCGUGUAGCAGUGAAAUGCGUAGAGAUGCGGAGGAACACCGAUGGCGAAGGCGGAUCUCUGGGCCUUACCUGACGCUCAGGCGCGAAAGCUAGGGGAGCGAACAGG
rnacentral:rRNA from 1 species